rnacentral:rRNA from 1 species
CCUACGGGAGGCAGCAGUGGGGAAUAUUGGGCAAUGGGCGCAAGCCUGACCCAGCAACGCCGCGUGAAGGAAGAAGGCCUCCGGGUUGUAAGCUUCUUUUGUCAGGGACGAAGAAAGCGACGGUACCUGACGAAUAAGCCACGGCUAACUACGUGCCAGCAGCCGCGGUAAUACGUAGGUGGCAAGCGUUAUCCGGAUUUACUGGGUGUAAAGAGCGUGUAGGCGGGAGAGCAAGUCAGACGUGAAAUCCGAGGGCUCAACCCUGGAACUGCGUUUGAGACUGUUCUGCUUGAGUGAUGGAGAGGCAGACGGAAUUCCGGGUGUAGCGGUGAAAUGCGUAGAUAUACGGAGGAACACCAGUGGCGAAGGCGGCCUGCUGGACAUUAACUGACGCUGAGGCGCGAAAGCGUGGGGAGCAAACAGGAUUAGAUACCCGGGUAGUC